UAGUUGGGAUUACGUCCUUUACGAAAGAGAGUAAUUAAUACGAAUAACAUAGUAAAGUUGCAUGAUCUUACUAUGAAAGCUCCGGCGGAGAAGGAUGGGGAUGCGUUCCAUUAGGUAGUAGGCGGGGUAACAGCCCACCUAGCCGACGAUGGAUAGGGGUUCUGAGAGGAAGGUCCCCCACACUGGAACUGAGACACGGUCCAGACUCCUACGGGAGGCAGCAGUGAGGAAUAUUGGUCAAUGGACGCAAGUCUGAACCAGCCAAGUAGCGUGAAGGAUGACUGCCCUAUGGGUUGUAAACUUCUUUUGCCGUAGAACAAAACAUGCCACGUGUGGCAUUUUGCGUGUAUACGUUGAAUAAGCAUCGGCUAACUCCGUG
rnacentral:rRNA from 1 species